CCAAAGGCUCUUUUAAGAGCCACCUACCUGCUCUGAGAAAGAGCUU
rfam:Podiceps cristatus contig126477, whole genome shotgun sequence.